UAAACCGUAUAAGUGUUAAAGCUGGCGGCGUUGCAUAUACGGGGUAGAGGGAACAUACUGGACUGACGCCAUAAGGUCGAGUUGAUUAUGAUGUAAGCGGAACGCGGCUGGAAAGCCGGACCGUAGGAGGUGAGAGUCCUGUAGAGCGUAAAGUCAUAAUAGCUUGUAUGAGAUCCCGAGUAGCAUCGGACACGAGGAAUCCGGUGUGAAUCAGCGUGGACCAUAUCACGUAAGGCUAAAUACUUCCGCCGACCGAUAGAGGAGAGUACCGUGAGGGAAAGGUGAAAAGAACCCUGAGCAAGGGAGUGAAAUAGAAUUUGAAACCGUGUGCUUACAAGCGGUAGGAGCCCAUAUGGGUGACUGCGUGGAUUUUGGUUAAUCAUCCUGCGAGUUAUGAUGUGUGGCGAGGUUAAGUGUAAGCGGAGCCGAAGGGAAACCGAGUCUUAAUAGGGCGACGAGUCGCAUGUCAUAGACGCGAAACCUAGUGAUCUAGGCCUGUCCAGGCUGAAGCUGAGGUAAGACUCAGUGGAGGGCCGAACUCACCGCCGUUGAAAAGUUGGGAGAUGAGAUAGGUCUAGGGGUGAAAAGCCAAUCGAACUAGGAGAUAGCUCGUUCUCUCCGAAAUGCAUUUAGGUGCAGCCUCGGUUGAAGAUAUGCGGGGGUAGAGCACUGUAUGGCCUAGGGGGCGUAUAGCUUACCGAAGUCAAGCAAACUGCGAAUACCGUAUAUUGUUUACCGGGAGUGAGUCUACGGAUGACAAGGUCCGUGGACGAGAGGGGAACAGCCCGGACCGCCGGCUAAGGUCCCAAAUCAUGUCUAAGUGGGAAAGGAGGUGGAUAUUCACAGACAACCAGGAGGUUGGCUUAGAAGCAGCCAUACCUUGAAAGAGUGCGUAAUAGCUCACUGGUCGAGAGUAUCUGCGCCGAAGAUAUAACGGGGCUAAGACAUGAACCGAAGCCGCGGAAUUAGUUUAAACUAAUUGGUAGGAGAGCGUUCUGUAGGCUGUAGAAGGUGUCCUGAAAGGGAUGCUGGAGGUAUCAGAAGUGAGAAUGCAGGAAUGAGUAGCGAGAAGGAGGGCGAGAAUCCCUCCGGCCGGAAGUCCAAGGUUUCCAGGGGAAGGUUUGUCCGCCCUGGGGGAGUCGGGACCUAAGCAUAAGCAGAGCUGCGAAGGCGAAUGGAAAACAGGUUAAUAUUCCUGUACCGCUGUGUACUGACUGAGAGAUGGAGUGACGCAGGAAGGUAUGCGGGAAGGCUGACGGAAUAGCCUUUCUAAGGGUGAAGCGUGGACAUAUAGGCAAAUCCGUAUGUUUAAACGUGAGGCCUGACGGGUAAGUACCUUAGGGUAUAAGCCGCAGAUCCUACACUGCCGGGAAAAACUUCUAUUUAGGGAAGCAGCGCCCGUACUGUAAACCGACACAGGUGGACAGAGUGAGAAACUUAAGGCCGACAGGAUAACUCUGGCUAAGGAACUCUGCAAAAUGGCCCCGUAACUUAGGGAGAAGGGGUGCCCGUGGUACCUGAAGGGGGAGACACCCGGAGGGGAAACGGGCCGCAGUGAAGAGUCCCAAGCAACUGUUUACCAAAAACACAGGUCUAUGCUAAGCCGGAAGGCGACGUAUAUGGGCUGACACCUGCCCAGUGCCGGAAGGUUAAGAGGAGGAUUGAGAGAUCCGAAUUGAAGCCCCGGUGAACGGCGGCCGUAACUAUAACGGUCCUAAGGUAGCGAAAUUCCUUGUCGGG
rnacentral:rRNA from 1 species